rnacentral:sRNA from 1 species
UCUAUCGGUCCGGAGUCUCUGGGUUAUCUCUUUGAAGUUCGCUCGGGGGAGAGGACUUAUCCAUUGACACUAACUUGACCGUUGU